ACAGUAGUUAAGCUCUCCAGCGCCCAUGGUAGUUGGGGCUCGCGCCCCUGCGAGAGUAGGACGUUGCCAGGC
rnacentral:rRNA from 1 species